rnacentral:rRNA from 1 species
AAUGAACGCUGGCGGCGCGCCUAAUACAUGCAAGUCGAGCGAGAAGACGUAGCAAUACGUUUGUAAAGCGGCGAACGGGUGAGGAAUACAUGGGUAACCUACCCUAGAGUGGGGAAUAACUAGCCGAAAGGUUAGCUAAUACCGCGUACGCUCCUUGGACUUCGGUUCAGGGAGGAAAGCGAUGCCGAGGGUAUCGCGCUCUUGGAUGGGCUCAUGUCCUAUCAGCUUGNGGUGAGGUAACGGCUCACCAAGGCUUCGACGGGUAGCUGGUCUGAGAGGACGAUCAGCCACACUGGCACUGCGACACGGGCCAGACUCCUACGGGAGGCAGCAGUAAGGAAUAUUGCGCAAUGGGCG